CUUGAACGCUGGCGGCAGGCCUAACACAUGCAAGUCGAACGAGUGGCGGACGGGUGAGUAAUGUCUGGGAAACUGCCUGAUGGAGGGGGAUAACUACUGGAAACGGUAGCUAAUACCGCAUACCAUCAGAUGUGCCCAUAUGGAAUUAGCUAGGUGGUGGGGUAACGGGUCACCAAGGCGACGGUCCCUAGCUGGUCUGAGAGGAUGACCAGCCACACUGGAACUGAGAAACGGUCCAGACUCCAACGUGAGGCAGCAGUGGGGAAGAUUGCACAAUGGGCGCAAGCCUGAUGCAGCCAUGCCGCGUGUAUGAAGAAGGCCUUCGGGUUGUAAAGUACUUUCAGCGGGGAGGCGUUACCCGCAGAAGAAGCACCGGCUAACUCCGUGCCAGCAGCCGCGGUAAUAC
rnacentral:rRNA from 1 species